AGAUGUUAAAAGCAAGAGACAUGGGAGAGCAUAAUUCUUUUGAGAUUUUAUGCCACUGAUGAAGAACAUGUGGUGACUGGGAUGAAUGCUGGUCAGAGAGGAGAAUCUUCUUUCCCCUAAACGGAUGUAGAAGUGGUUUUAAAGGGGGACGUUGCCCUGGAUGAUGAUGAAGAUGUCACAUGUGCUGAUGGGGCUUCUUCAUGACUACAUCAAUUAUGCUAAAGAGAUCAUGAAAGUUGACAGUGAAGCAUGAUCUGUAUUCAUGGACUAUGAAACAAACUGUAAGUGCAUCACUUGUAAAAACAA